CCCCAUCACCCCCCCGUCGGUGACACCUACGUGCCACACACCGGCGCGUCCAUCCCCCAGCUAUAAGCGCCCCCCAAAUGUCGGCGCUCCUGCCAGCACCCAUCGGCAGGCCGUGCCCCCGGUGCGCCCUACGGACGGCACCCGGCAGUGCCGGCCCACCCACGGCACCGCGCAGCCGGUGCCGGGCACCCCAAAAAACUCUGCCUCGGCUCUGCCGCGCACCCGCCGAUGGUGCUGACACCCCACCGACGGUUGCUGUGCAUCCCACCCUGCCUGGGUUUGGCAUCUCCCACGGGCACCCCGCGGCUGCACCGCCCCACCCGGAGCAUCUCCCCACCAGCCCGGUUGGCACCCCGACUCCGGCAACCUCCACGGCCCCCGCCGGCCUGGGUGACUGAGCCCCCCCCUCUGCUUCAUCAGGGGGUGUCACGGGCCGUGCACCCCACUCUGCUGCUGGGUGUCACGGGCACGGCUCCCACCGGCGCACCGUGCCGGAGAGCUGUGUGCCGUGCCGGCGAUCCCUGCACCGUGCCAGGUAGCCACGCGCCACGGCAGGUACCCACGCACCACCAUGGCAAGGUAGCCACACGCAAUGUCAGGUAGCCACGCGCAAUGUCAGGUAGCCACGCGCAAUGUCAGGUAGCCACGCGCCACGCCAGAGACCCACGGACCGUGGGCCGGCAGCGCGGCUCCCGUGCCCCCAGCCCCUUCGCGCCGGUUGGGCGCGGGGAGGUGGCGGCUGCCGGCCUCGCCAUCACCCGUGCCUGUGCCGGGAGCGGCCGGCGGUGGAAACUCGCCGUCUUCCGAGGGAUUCCCAGCACCGCUCGGGGACGGAAAGCCGCACGCUCGGGCCUUCCCCGGCAGGCCCCGGUGCUGCCGGCGGUUGGGACCAGCGUCGCAGAGGGGCGUCAGCGGUGCAGCGGCAGCAAAACGGGGGUGUCGGGGUGCGGGGCAGGGUGGUGCCGGCGCUGGGUGGGUGGCAGAGGGUCGGGGACGUAGCGGGGGGGUCCCACACGGGUCCCAGCACGGCUCGAGGGGUCUCCCAUCCCCACGGCAGCGCCAAACGGCCCAGCGUCCCGGCGGGGGGCUCGGGCUGGUGGGCCGCCGGGUGCCGGUACCUCAGGCUGGGGGGGGGCCUGGCUCGGGGGGGGGGGCGGCGCAGGGGACAAACCCCAUCCCAGGCUGCGAGGACCGGCUGGACCCCCCCCCCCCCCCGGUGCCCCGUGAGUCAGGGACCCCCCACCCCGGGGCCACAGACACCGUGGGGGGGGGUGUGGGUGCUCCCAGGGAGGAGACACCGGGGCCCGAUGCUGCGGGGAUGGGCGAUACCGGGGGGGGGUGUGUGUGUGUGGGGGGGGGCUCCGGGGCGAUGCCGGUUCCCAGCCCCGGUGCUUCCUCCUGCCCAAACAAGGCAUCCCCGGCGGCCGGCGCUUAGGGGCUGGCCGGGAGGCGGCGCGGCUGGGGGUGACCUGCUGCUGAAUCAGAGGGGCCGGUAACCUUAGCCCGCCGGGAACGGAUACGCCGUCCCGCGCCCGGAUCGGGUUCCCACCCAAGUUUUCCACCCGCGGCUCCGCGGCGGGACGGGCGAGAGCCGGGGCCGCGGUGACGGACGGUGGCUUGGCCGUGCACCCCGAGGAGCCGGCCGGGGGCUGCCGCGGUGCCCCCUCGCCCGGAGUGUGGGUGAAAGCCCCGCUGCAGGUUACGGCCACCCCGGUGCCCGCCACAAUCUGGCUGGACUUGGUAAUCCUACCUGCAGCUAAUUAAAAGGGGCGCAGCCCCCAGCCCACCCCCAGUCCCCCCCUGCCGUGCCGUGCCGUGCCAAGCCACCCCGUGGGGCCAGUGCGGCAGCGGCACCGGGGCAGCGCGGACGUCCCCGCGGGUGCAGCCGGCCGGCCCCGCCGCGACGCCCGGGCUCGGUAGGGCCGGGGAGCCCCCGCCGGCCCCCCGGGGG
ensembl:lncRNA